rnacentral:rRNA from 1 species
GACGAACGCUGGCGGCGUGCUUAACACAUGCAAGUCGAACGGAAAGGCCUCUUUCGGGGGGUACUCGAGUGGCGAACGGGUGAGUAACACGUGAGUAACCUGCCCUUGACUUUGGGAUAACUUCAGGAAACUGGGGCUAAUACCGGAUAGGAGCUCCUGCUGCAUGGUGGGGGUUGGAAAGUUUCGGCGGUUGGGGAUGGACUCGCGGCUUAUCAGCUUGUUGGUGGGGUAGUGGCUUACCAAGGCUUUGACGGGUAGCCGGCCUGAGAGGGUGACCGGCCACAUUGGGACUGAGAUACGGCCCAGACUCCUACGGGAGGAAGCAGUGGGGAAUCUUGCACAAUGGGUGGAAGCCUGAUGCAGCAACGCCGUGUGCGGGAUGACGGCCUUCGGGUUGUAAACCGCUUUCGCUCAUGACGAAGCUUUGUGUGACGGUAGUGGGUAAAGAAGCACCGGCUAACUACGUG